rnacentral:rRNA from 1 species
AAUGCCCUGAGACGGUUAUUUUCUUUCGAGUGAUGGUUGGUGACACUGACAAGUGACACCACAAAAUUUCGACAGCAUUCGAGACUGAAACCAAUUGAAUAAUUAUCAUGCUUUUCAUCUGAUCCUUGAAGUCAAUAACCAGUGUCUUUACGGGAAGUUCGCCGCGGCGAGCCGGAGAAAUCCCCAUCCCCUUGCCUCACCCUCUCCUUUCUCCCCUCAACUCCCCUGCUACCGCCGGCGGGCACCGCGCCCAUUAAUCCCGUCAAACCACCCAUCACCGACUAUAUUCAACCACACCAGCACCAACGCUCUUUGUGCUACCACGUCGUGUGCCACACUGGGAGACAUGGGGGCGCUGCAAGGGCUGUGGAGACAUGCGAGUUUGUGCUUUUUGAUGGCGGCGGUGGAUGCUUUGUCGGCGGCGAGCUGAGGCUACGUCUACUUGACUCUCGCCAUGGUCUGCAACCGGCAUCUGUGAUGCUGCAACCAGUGGUGGCCGGAGCUGGGACUGGUCUCACCGGAAGCUGCUAUCUGCAGUGCGUCAUGGCUAGAGUGAGACCAGUGCGACGAUAGUGACGUCGGGAUGCUGGAACCGCGGCCAGGAGGAGCUGUAAUUGUGGCCCCAAAAAAGCUGGAACCGCGCCGGAUGCUGGCAAGUGCUACAACCAUGGCGGUCAGAUGCUGGAACCCGCAUAAAUUUCUGCUUCCAUUGGCGUUUUGGGUUUGCUGAAACUAGCACCGUUUUUGUAAUUUUUUUACCACGGUUUUGUAUUUUACUAGAACCAGCCUCAAUUUUUGCUACCAUAGUCGUUUUGAUUUGUUGGAAUCAACCCUCAACUUUCAUCUUUGCUACCACCGGCGUUUUGGUUUGCUUAAACAAGCUUAAAUUUUUGCUACCAUCACCUUUUGUUUUGUUGGAACGACGUUUAAUUUUUGAACUUUUUGUUACCACCGUUAUUUGGUUUGCUGGAACCAGCGCCAAUAUUUGCUAUAGCCGCCGUUUGCCGUGAGACCACGGAGUCGUCGCCAUUGUUUCUGCAGGAGAGUGAGGGAGGGGGAUGAGCAGCACCGGUGAGGGGUGAACUGAUUUUUGCUGGAACCGACAUAAUAUUUUGCUAUGACCCAUGAAUUUUUGUUGUUGUGACCAACAAAUUGAAGCAAGGACGAGCUCGACGACGGGGUGCUGCGGCCAUCUCCACCGGAGUUGCCAUGGCCGGUAAGUACGGGCCGCCAAUGAUGAGGCGGCGACCGCGGUUGCCGGCGAGCAUGAGGCCGAGGACGGGCGUGGGCGGCGUGAGCGAAAGGCGAGCGUAUAUCUGGCCAUGGGUCGGGCCGGGCCGGGCUUGGACCGGGCCUAAAAAAGCCCAUGGCAGAAAACUGAGGCUCAUGCCCUACCAUCAGGCCUACUUUUCAAGCCCA